AUUGAACGCUGGCGGAAUGCUUUACACGUGCAAGUCGAACGGCAGCACGGGGGCAACCCUGGUGGCGAGUGGCGAACGGGUGAGUAAUACAUCGGAACGUGCCCAGUCGUGGGGGAUAACGUAGCGAAAGUUACGCUAAUACCGCAUACGAUCUUCGGAUGAAAGCGGGGGACCGUAAGGCCUCGCGCGAUUGGAGCGGCCGAUGUCAGAUUAGGUAGUUGGUGAGGUAAAGGCUCACCAAGCCGACGAUCUGUAGCUGGUCUGAGAGGACGACCAGCCACACUGGGACUGGGACACGGCCCAGACUCCUACGGGAGGCAGCAGUGGGGAAUUUUGGACAAUGGGCGCAAGCCUGAUCCAGCCAUUCCGCGUGCAGGACGAAGGCCUUCGGGUUGUAGACUGCUUUUGUACGGAACGAAAAGGCUCUGGUUAAUACCUGGGGCUCAUGACGGUACCGUAAGAAUAAGCACCGGCUAACUACGUGCCAGCAGCCGCCGCAG
rnacentral:rRNA from 1 species